rnacentral:tRNA from 1 species
GGGGCUAUAGCUCAGUUGGUAGAGCACCUGCAUGGCAUGCAGGGGGUCAGGAGUUCAAAUCUCCUUAGCUCCACAA